rnacentral:lncRNA from 1 species
GAUAACCACACCAACUACCAAGAAUCAGUUUUGAGCUACUCAGCCCCUGCCCACCUCUACACCAUGCCACCUGUUCCAUCCCAGUAAUACUGUCUUCAUCAAGGCUUUUCAGAGUGAAGGACUAACUCCAGCCUGGAAGGGAUAAUACACAGUCAUCCUCACAAUGCCCUUGGGUCUCAAGGUUGAUGGAAUUUUGACCUGGGUUCACCAUUCGUGCAUCAUAGUGUGAAACAGUGGACUGCUGAACUGGGACUUGAUCCUUAAAAGCUAAGGCUAGUCCAAUCAUGAUUGUGAUGCUUGUCGUUAUUGUCUUUGGUCUGACUAGGAUGAACUCUGGGGAGAUGCAAUGAGGAGAAUUGCACUCCUUUCUCCUCACCUCUGUUCACUCAGGAAAACUUCUAGGUAAUGUCACUUUUGGUGCCAUCUGACCUGGCAUCCUCUCAGGUUCCCUGAGGUCGAUCUCUGUAAAUUAGUUAGGAGAGAUUGGGAAAGCUACUACUAACUGUUCAUCACCCUGGGCAGCCGUGAGUUUUAUGCGCAUUCAUGUUUCAAUCCAUUUGGACAGCAGGGUUGUGGGUCCUCAACUGACUUCUCCUGCUCUCACUGGGGCUGUGUAAAGAUUACCUCCUAUAGAGGGUUACCAGAUGUCACUAAUGAUAUCAGAGUUUGGAUACAUGGGUGCCUAGUUCCAAUUCUGAUACAAAGACCCUUGAACUCUAAAUGGGCCACAGGAUGGAAUUGGGGAUUCUGCUUCUUGCUCCUUCCAGGACUAAUUCCUCACACAGGUAAAAUCAUGGCAUUUCAGACCAUGUUACUAACCCGGGCAACAAAACAGUGCAAAACCUGUAAAACUGAUGUAUGAGAUCCUACCACAAUUGCUUGCAUAAUCCCUUGCCCAAUUAAGUCUCUAAUUGAGUCAAUACUUUGAUAUCAUGCUUAGAGGAAUUGGGACUAUGAUAGCCAACUCAACUCCAUCUUGAGCCUCAAUAUCAUCUUAUACCUGUGCUUGGACAAAGCACCCCAAACCCCACAUCCUGUUUGGCAGUAAACUUGCUGCAGCUGCUGCAUGUUUUUUAGUUAUCUGAGUGUGUGAAACUUCCUUGUGUCCCCCACUCACCUGACAUGGUUGUGCCUCUGGAGAAAGAAAUGUGGGUUUUUUUUUAUAGAAUGGAGUACUACUCAGCUAUAAAGAAGGAAAAACUAGUGGCAUUUAUAGCUAAGUGACUGCACAUUGAGGCCAUACUCUUAAGUGAAAUAAAUAGGACACACAUGUGCAAAUACCAAAUAGUUUCUCUGGUGUGAAAACCUAAAAAGUGUAAAUGAGGGUCAAAAUAUAUAAUUGAUAUUGUGUAAUAGGAAGAAAAGGUCUAAAGUGGUAGGGGAAAAGCAAGAAGGGAAAAGAAAAAAUAUGAGUAAAGGAAGAAAUGGAAACAAAGUCUGUAAAUAGGGAUGGGUUGAGGGUUUGAAGGGAGUGCAGGGGAAUAGGGAAAAAAUAAGAACCAAGGAGCAUCACGUACAGGUACAAGUUCCCAAUGAUGACUAUAAGAAUAUUGUAUACCUAAAAUGUACAAAUAAACUUAAGGAAAAAAAUAACUAAUAUGAUCAACUUGUUCAAAUAUACACACUACUGAUAGUAUUUGUCUAAAGGCAUCCAGAGUUUAGUUGAGAGGGUAAACAACAUCCAUGAACUUGUCAGAGUUUGCACUAGGUAGAUGGAAGAUAUGAAAAGUAUUCAGUAUCACACUGGAAAUACACAUGCAAACACAUGCAUGCAUGUGCUAUCACACAAAAUCAGAUACAUGAAAUCCUACAACAGGGUCAUCAGUGGAGUCACUGCAGAUUAAGAAAUAAUCAUGUAGUAGAAAAAGAAACAACAGAACUUAUCUAAGAAUUAUUGUUUAGGAAAUGGAAUGAAUAAAAUGCACUACCAAAUAGUCUAACAUAAAGCAGUAAUGAAAUAGGAACAAUGUGAGGAGGUACAUGUCAACACUUUUUUGAAAAUAAGAAAGUUAUUAAGCCAUUGAUUAAGCAGUUCAAAGGAUCAUGGGAAGGAUAACUGUCAAGGACACUUGAGUCUUUCCAGAAAAAGAAAGGACAAAUGUAAAAAUGUAAAUUGAUAUGUGAGAAAUAAUGGAAAUUUUAAUUUCGAUUACUUUAAAACUAAGGGACUGAAGGAAAGUAAUACUACUGCAUUAUGAAUUUAAGCCACAUAUAAAAAUAGCAUUUAUGAGAAAAAUAACAAAAAAGAGGUGAUAAUCGAUCAUUAUUUUUCAAGCCAUCUGUUCUUGCUGCUUGUUCAAUAAGGGCUGGAUAUGUAGCUUAAUGGUACAGUGUUUGCCUAUUGUUGUUCAUGGCCUGGGUUCAAUCACCAGCACCAAAAAAGAAAAGAUAUAUAUAUACUUGGUAGCCAUUAUUAUAAUUUGGGGUUCAAAGCAAAGGUCAUUACUGCAUGGAGAAUAACAAAUAGAAUAUCAAGAAUAAACUAUAGAUAUCAUCAAGGGCUCACAAAAGUUAAAAUGUAAAGUGAAAGAUAUGAAAAUAUUCUGCUAAUGAAUUUGAUGAUGAAAAAAUAAAGUUCCUUAAAUGUACAUUAGGUGAAAUAAGUAAUGUGAGUAAUUAUCUACUUAAUAAAUUAAAGUGUUUUAUGAAAAGCAUUCAUAUGAAUAAAAUCUGCAUAAUGUUUUUUCCUUCGUAAAACAAAUCCUCACCUCUCCUUUACACUGAAUAUUGGAUGAACUCCCUGUAACAAUGUGGAAGAAGAGAACAGAACCAAAAGAUAGGAGAAUGUGAGCACUGAGUUACCUGCCAAAAACAGCCAACCCAAAAGUAAUCUGAGCCACAGGAUAAGUGUGAUACACCAAUAAAUUCAGGUGAUAGCCAUGAGUAUUGUUUUGUGUUGAGUGAGUCUAUUCCUGAAAGAUUCAUCACACUAGAAAAACUGUUUCCUAAUAUAAUUACCCUGCCUGUCAACAUCCAUCAUCUGUUAAGUUAUUCUUUCUUUUAAUAAGUUCAUUUUUAAGUAUCUGUUUAUACUUGAGACUUGGAAGCUUUAGCCCCCAAUGCCAAGCACUAUGUCUUCUAUUAGAAAAUGUAAAAAACAUUGAAAAAUGCACAUGUUUCAGUGACUGCUGUUUUAGAAACAUAUAAUAUCAGUAUUACUGUCUAGCCAUUCAUAAUAAUUAAUUAAUAAUUAGUAAUUUCUUUGUUGUUAUGGUCUUCUAAAUUAUCAUAAAUAUAUUAAAUAGCAAACUGCCCUAGCACCAUGAAAGAGGGAAUGAGAUCUCCCAUUAUUUCAGAGCAAUAACUUCUAUUACAUGAGCUAAGUAGUGAUAUGAGAAGGAAAUCAUUGGGCAAAUGCAAAUAGUUUAAAUGUUUCUUAUGGAAAAGAGAUUAUCUUGUGUUUAUUUAAUACUAUGAUGUAAGUGCUUUAUACCCUAUGUCAUUAAUAAAAUAGCACUAAUUUAAAUUAAAAUUUAGGAAUUUCUUCAAUUUAAAUAUCAUUUUUCAAGUUAGAGAAUCUAUUGACAGGUUUGCCAACAAAAAUCAAUAGCAUAAAUUUUCUAACUCAGAAAAAUAUAUUAAAAUUAAUGUAACAAAAGCCGCAUCUUAUAAAAGUAUCAAAUUGCUUUCAAUAAGAGGUUCAAUAUGGCUCAUAUACUGAAAACAUCUUAAUCUUUCAUGAUACAAUUACACACAUUAUUGGAUAUACAACCUCAAAGUAAACAAGGCAAGCAGCAAAUACUAUGCAAAAAAAUACAGAAAAAAUAUAUUGAUUAUAUAGACGUGCUCAUAACCACUGAUCUGAACGAUAUGCAUAGGAAUGUCAAUAAUUAAUACAAAAUUUUUCUUUUCUCUAAUAAUUGUCAUUUUUGAAAAAUUCUUCAAUAUUAGGACAUAUUACUUACCAAUAACUUCAUUCUAAUUCAAUAUUUAACUUUAUGCUGAAUCCAAAAUUGGGAGCUCCUGGCUUCUGUUUUUUUCUUUUUCAGGUGUUAUGUUUAUAUAUUAAAUUAUUCUUGAUAGUAGCCCUUUGUCUGAGUUAUAGCUGCUAAAAAUUUUUCCCACAUUGUAGGUUGUCAGCUCUGUUGGUGGUUUCUCUUCCAGUGCAGAAGCUUUUUAAUAAGAUGAGAUCCCAGUUCUUGAAACUUUCUGCUAGUUCCCAUGCUACUGAGGUUUUGUUCAUAAAGUCUUUUCCUAUGCCAAUAUCUUCAAGAGUUCUACCUAACUUAUCUUCCAGAAAGUUUAGAGUUCCUGUCUUUAUAUUGAGAUCUUUAAUCCAUAUAAAAUGUGUUAAGUAUUAAAUAUCAUAGUAAUACAAGGCAUCUGAUGAUAAUACCCAGAAUUCAUUGUCACUGCCAUCAACAUUUUACAACCACCUUUGACCAGAUGGACAUGGGAUUAUUAUAUAUCUUGUGGACUUGACCAUACUGACUGUUAGAAUUUCUGUGAAUUAAUCUGGGUAGUAUGCUAGAAAGGUGUCAGGGCAAGAAUCUAAAUGCCCAAUUCUUGAUUUUAAAGCCAUUUCCGAAAACAUUGUUGCUAUUAAUAUCUAUUAUAAGCAAAAUGACUAAUAUAAAAUUGUGUAAAAUUAGAGCAUGCUUGAAUAUAUUAUGAUGUCCUUUUCUAUAUGACCAGCAUAUUUUCUUGUUUUGCACAUUAGUUGCCCUUGAGGCCACCUAUAUUUACUCACAGAUUGACUCAUAUUUCAUGAUAGUCAGGUGAAACAUAAAUGUGU